UUACGGCAAUAUCACGUUGAAACACCGGUUCUCGUACGAUCACCGAAGUUAAGCAACGUUGAGCCUGGUCAAUUCCUAGAUGGUCGACCGCUUGGUAAUAUCCUGUACUGCAAG